rnacentral:lncRNA from 1 species
CGUUAUCAAAGUUUGUUAUAAUAUUUUUGAAAAACGAUUUUAUCCGAAAAAAAUUACAUUAAUGUAAACAUUCAUAAGAUUGUCAAUUCUAUCCCGAAUUUGUCAAUUAAAACAGCAGAAGACGUAGACAUAUCUGAAUUUUUGGUAUUUGAGCAAGUGUAAAAUCAUUUGUUCCCCGGACUAAUGCUAAACCGACCAGAAACAUCAAAUUUUACGACAUUAGAGAGACAAAAGUCAAUAAUUUUCUUCAGUUUUAUCGGUUUAAGGAAAGUAAGACAACAUUUAAACGUGAGGGAAAAUACAAAAACUAUAACCUCUUGUGUUUUAGAGUUAGGUUAAGUUAUUUAAUAUUAUAUAAAUCAAACUUCGUUGCACGGGAUUCGAACCGUUGCCCGGUCUGAUUGCAUUGAUAUCAGCAUCGUAAGCGAGAGCCUUAUCCCCACUGCUACCGUGGUUAACAUUAUCAAUUGGCAA